CACUUGUUGACCUUACAGUAUCAGACCCUGAAGACAAGUACAGUGCUAUUGAAUCCACCUCAGAAUAUGAAGGUCUGUACACAUCAGAAGAUGAAGAAGAAAACGACAAAAAAAGUAGACCAGAAUCUGACUCGGGAGAAGGUCUGUGCAAGUCAGAAGAAGAAAAAGACCACAAAUGUAAAACAGAAACUGAC